rnacentral:rRNA from 1 species
UACAGAGGGUGCGAGCGUUAAUCGGAAUUACUGGGCGUAAAGGGCUCGUAGGCGGCCAACUAAGUCAGACGUGAAAUCCCUCAGCUUAACUGGGGGAACUGCGUCUGAUACUGGAUGGCUUGGAUCCGGAAGAGGGAUGCGGAAUUCCAGGUGUAGCGGUGAAAUGCGUAGAUAUCGAGAGGAACACCUGCGGCGAAGGCGGGUUGCUGGGCCGACACUGACGCUGAUGCGCGAAAGCCAGGGAGCGAACGGG